rnacentral:pre_miRNA from 1 species
UGGAUAGAUUACUUUAUUCGACUGUAUUCACGGCGUGAAACAGGGGAUUACACUGUUUUUAAACGGAAAGUGUAUCAAUUAACAUAAUAGACUCCU